GCGGUGGUAGCUCAGCUGGUAGAGCGUCAGCCUUCCAAGCUGAAUGUCGCGAGUUCGAUUCUCGUCCGCCGCUCCA
rnacentral:tRNA from 1 species